rnacentral:rRNA from 1 species
GUUGAACGCUGGCGGCGUGCCUAAUACAUGCAAGUCGAACGAACAGACGAGGACCUUGCUCCUCUGACGUUAGCGGCGGACGUGUUAGUACCACAUGGAUAACCUACCUAUAAGACUGGGAUAACUUCGGGAACCCGGAGCUAAUACGGGAUAAUAUAUUGAACCGCAUGGUUCAAUAGUGAAAGACGGUUUUGCUGUCACUUAUAGAUGGUUCCGCGCCGCAUUAUCUAGUUGGUAAGGUAACGGCUUACCAAGGCGACGAUGCUUAACCGACCUGAGAGGGUGAUCCGCCACACUUGAACUGAGGACAGGUCCAGACUCCUAAGGGAAGGCGCAGGAGGGAAACUUUCGCAAUGGGCGGAAGCCCUACGGAACAACGGCCGGGUGGGGAAAAAGGUCUUCCGAUCGGUAAACUCUGUUAUGAGGGAAGAACAAAUGUGUAAGUAACUAUGCACGUCUUGACGGUACCUAAUCAGAAAGCCACGGCUAACUACGUG